rnacentral:lncRNA from 1 species
AGGACGAUCAAUUGUAUUUUGCUUCCGUUUAUCAUGCAUUAUUAAUUACUAGGGGAGGCUAGGGAUAGCAAGCCGGUAAUUAGUAAUAGGCUCUUUUCGUCAAGGGAUUGGGUUAAGGGUAGACCAAGAAAGUUUGCAUGACAAUAUGAUAAAUAAGCUAAUUAAAUAAGAAGAGUAGAUAUAUGAGGGUGGAUAAGAUGAAAUUGUAAACCCCAACAACACCAUUCAUUCAUAGUUUUUCCUUGCCAAUUGAAUCACUGCAUUUGCAUGUUUACUUUUGUUUUUGCAUUCAACACUCAAAUUAUUUUCUUUUUCGAAGUCUUACGCAAUUAGUUUAUACGAAAGUUAAGGCCUAAGAGUCCUUUGGGAAACGAUACUUGGACUUACCCAUUUUAUAUUACUUGAUAACGAUCUGGUACACUUGUCAGGGACUUAACAAUAAUCAUCUAGUCUCAAGUAGAGAAGGAUGAGUUAUUUGGUGAGAGGGACAGAAGGUCCUAGUCUAUGUGCCAGUUUUAGACAUAGGUGUUAACGGACUAACCUUGUGGGUGACAUGGUGUGUUAUAUUGGAAGUAUAUUUGUAAAGAGCAGUGGAGGCCACUACAGGUGCA